UCGCCCAAAGAGGGGCUCGCGUCUGAUUAGCUAGUUGGUGAGGUAAGAGCUCACCAAGGCGACGAUCAGUAGCUGGUCUGAGAGGAUGAGCAGCCACACUGGGACUGAGACACGGCCCAGACUCCUACGGGAGGCAGCAGUGGGGAAUUUUCCGCAAUGGGCGCAAGCCUGACGGAGCAAGACCGCGUGAGGGAGGAAGGCCCUUGGGUUGUAAACCUCUUUUCUCAGGGAAGAAGACAGUGACGGUACCUGAGGAAUCAGCCUCGGCUAACUCCGUGCCAGCAGCCGCGGUAAUACGGAGGAGGCAAGCGUUAUCCGGAAUCAUUGGGCGUAAAGCGUCCGCAGGUGGUGGUUCAAGUCUGCGGUUAAAGACCGGAGCUUAACUCCGGAAUGGCCGUGGAAACUGAAAUACUAGAGUCCGGUAGGGGUAGAGGGAAUUCCCAGUGUAGCGGUGAAAUGCGUAGAGAUUGGGAAG
rnacentral:rRNA from 1 species